rnacentral:misc_RNA from 1 species
GAUGAAGAACGCAGCGAAAUGCGAUAAGUAAUGUGAAUUGCAGAAUUCAGUGAAUCAUCGAAUCUUUGAACGCACAUUGCGCCCCCUGGUAUUCCGGGGGGCAUGCCUGUCCGAGCGUCAUUACAACCCUCAAGCUCAGCUUGGUGUUGGGCCCCGCCGCCCCGGCGGGCCCUAAAGUCAGUGGCGGUGCCGUCCGGCUCCGAGCGUAGUAAUUCUUCUCGCUCUGGAGGUCCGGUCGUGUGCUCGCCAGCAACCCCCAAUUUUUUUCAGGUUGACCUCGGAUCAGGUUGGGAUACCCGCUGAACUUAAGCAUAUCAAUAAGCGGAGGA